AAGCCCUUCGGGGUGGAUUAGUGGCGAACGGGUGAGUAACACGUGGGCAAUCUGCCCUUCACUCUGGGACAAGCCCUGGAAACGGGGUCUAAUACCGGAUAUCACUUCCGCAGGCAUCUGUGGGGGUUGAAAGCUCCGGCGGUGAAGGAUGAGCCCGCGGCCUAUCAGCUUGUUGGUGAGGUAACGGCUCACCAAGGCGACGACGGGUAGCCGGCCUGAGAGGGCGACCGGCCACACUGGGACUGAGACACGGCCCAGACUCCUACGGGAGGCAGCAGUGGGGAAUAUUGCACAAUGGGCGAAAGCCUGAUGCAGCGACGCCGCGUGAGGGAUGACGGCCUUCGGGUUGUAAACCUCUUUCAGCAGGGAAGAAGCGAGAGUGACGGUACCUGCAGAAGAAGCGCCGGCUAACUACGUGCCAGCAGCCGCGGUAAUACGUAGGGCGCAAGCGUUGUCCGGAAUUAUUGGGCGUAAAGAGCUCGUAGGCGGCUUGUCACGUCGGGUGUGAAAGCCCGGGGCUUAACCCCGGGUCUGCAUUCGAUACGGGCUAGCUAGAGUGUGGUAGGGGAGAUCGGAAUUCCUGGUGUAGCGGUGAAAUGCGCAGAUAUCAGGAGGAACACCGGUGGCGAAGGCGGAUCUCUGGGCCAUUACUGACGCUGAGGAGCGAAAGCGUGGGGAGCGAACAGGAUUAGAUACCCUGGUAGUCCACGCCGUAAACGGUGGGAACUAGGUGUUGGCGACAUUCCACGUCGUCGGUGCCGCAGCUAACGCAUUAAGUUCCCCGCCUGGGGAGUACGGCCGCA
rnacentral:rRNA from 1 species